ensembl:lncRNA
AAUUUUGUUACUAUAAUCGCUUAAUUUAAUAAUCAAUUAGGUGACAGUAUUUGUCCCUGUUUGUUCAUCAGGCGUGUUUGGUGACUCAGUGUCAGUGAGUGAAGGAAAUUCUGUUACUCUACACACUGAUGUUACUGAAAUAUGUGAAGAUGAUGACAUUCUGUGGAAAUUUGGAGCUGAAAAGUCUCAAAUAGCUAAAAUCAGUAGAGUUGCUGGAAUCUUCUUCACAUAUAAUGCUACAGAGAGAUUGAGAGACAGACUGAAGCUGGACAAUCAAACUGGAUCUCUGACCAUCAUGAACAUCACAUAUGAACACGCUGGACUCUAUAAAGUAGAGAUAAGUGGAGUCAGGUGGUCAUCAAAAACAUUCAGUGUUUCUGUUUAUGGUGAGUAAAGAUUUUUUGUUACUAAUUUACAUUAUAAAAGGACUAAACAUUUCAUUAUUUAAAAACAUUUAACUUCAAACAUUGAAUUGAAAAUAAGAUUGUUGAUUAGAUUUAUUCUCUCAUGUUUUCAGCUUGUCUGCCUGUUCCUGUCGUCAGCAGUAACUCUUCACAGUGUUCAUCAUCAUCAUGAUCAUCAUAUUGUUCAUUGUUGUGUUCAGUGGUGAAUGUGGGUCAUGUGACUCUCUCCUGGUACAAAGGAAACAGUUUAUUGUCCAGCAUCAGUGUGUCUGAUCUCAGCAUCAGUCUCUCUCUACCUCUGGAGGUGGAAUAUCAGGAUAAAAACACCUACAGCUGUGUGAUCAACAAUCACAUCAGAAACCAGACUCAGCACAACAUCAACAUCACUCAACACUGUCAACCAUGUUCAGGUACAGCAAUGCUGAUAAAUCAGUGAUUUUGUUCACAUUCACGUACAUUAAUGUGUCUCUUCAUCAUCACAACAUCAUCUCCUUCAGGUCCUCCAGAAGGCUCAGUCUCUGUGAAAGUGUUGGUCUCUGCUGCUGCUGGACCUCUGUUGAUUUUUGCUGCUGUCGGGAUCGUCUGCAUCUGCAGGAAACACAGAAAUACAGACCAAGAAGUUCAGACCAGCGAAGAUGAGAUCACUUACGCUGAGCCGAUGUUCUACAAAAAGCAACAUAAAUCGGUAAGAUUAUUUAUUAGGCUACUAUUUAUGUAGACUUUCUGCCAGUAGUGAGUCAUAUUUAGAUGUUUGUGUGCACAGGUAUUUUGUCCGUAUAAUGAUCUUUCACAUAGCCUGCAUGACACACAACAACACUGUGUAUCAGAUCAUCAUUCAAAUUAAGAAACGUUGACUCAUGUCUUAUAAUAUAGUUAACAAUAGCACGUGUAUUAAGAUGUAUUCAUCCGGUCCGUAAGGUUGGUUUAAAAUGUGUUUAAUAUCAUUAGGCUACAUUUUGUAAAUUUU